rnacentral:tRNA from 1 species
GGCUCUGUAGCUCAGUUUGGCAGAGCACUGGACUCUUAAUCCAGGUGUCGGGGGUUCAAAUCCCUCCAGGGCCA